rnacentral:rRNA from 1 species
AUUGAACGCUGGCGGCAUGCCUUACACAUGCAAGUCGAACGGCAGCACGGGAGCAAUCCUGGUGGCGAGUGGCGAACGGGUGAGUAAUAUAUCGGAACGUGCCCAGUCGUGGGGGAUAACGUAGCGAAGCUACGCUAAUACCGCAUACGAUCUACGGAUGAAAGCGGGGGAUCGCAAGACCUCGCGCGAUUGGAGCGGCCGAUAUCAGAUUAGGUAGUUGUGAGGUAAAGGCUCACCAAGCCGACGAUCUGUAGCUGGUCUGAGAGGACGACCAGCCACACUGGGACUGAGACAC